rnacentral:rRNA from 1 species
GACGAACGCUGGCGGCGUGCUUAACACAUGCAAGUCGAACGGAAAGGCCCUGCUUUUGUGGGGUGCUCGAGUGGCGAACGGGUGAGUAACACGUGAGUAACCUGCCCUUGACUUUGGGAUAACUUCAGGAAACUGGGGCUAAUACCGGAUAGGAGCUCCUGCUGCAUUGUGGGGGGUGGAACGUUUCGGCGGGUGGGGAUGGACUCGCGGCUUAUCAGCUAGUUGGUGGGCUAGUGGCUUACCAAGGCUUUGGCGGGUAGCCGGCCUGAGAGGGUGACCGGCGACAAUGGGACUGAGAGAGGGCCCAGACUGCUACGGGAGGCAGCAGUGGGAAAUAUUGCACAAUGGGAGGGAGCCUGAUGCAGAGACUCCGCGUGCGGGAUGACGGCCUGUGGGUUGUAAACCGCUUUCGCCUGUGACGAAGCGUGAGUGACGGUAAUGGGUAAAGAAGCACCGGCUAACUACGUG